rnacentral:rRNA from 1 species
GUAAGGCAACAUAGGUCGUUUUUAACUUUUUAGAGGGACAUGUCCGGUUUACGGGCAGGAAGUUGGAGGCAAUAACAGGUCUGUGAUGCCCUUAGAUGUUUUGGGCCGCACGCGCGCUACACUGAUGGGUUCAUCGGGUUUUAAUUCUAAUUUUUGGAAUUGAGUGCUUGGUCGGAAGGCCUGGCUAAUCCUUGGAACGCUCAUCGUGCUGGGGCUAGAUUUUUGCAAUUAUUAAUCUCCAACGAGGAAUUCCUAGUAAACGCAAGUCAUCAGCUUGCAUUGAAUACGUCCCUGCCCUUUGUACACACCGCCCGUCGCACCUACCGAUUGAACGGUCCGAUGAAACCAUGGGAUGUUUCUGUUUGGAUUGAUUUUUGGACAGAGGCAGAACUCGGGUAAUCUAUU